rnacentral:rRNA from 1 species
AUUGAACGCUGGCGGCAGGCCUAACACAUGCAAGUCGAACGAGUGGCGGACGGGUGAGUAAUGUCUGGGAAACUGCCUGAUGGAGGGGGCUAACUACUGGAAACGGUAGCUAAUACCGCAUACCAUCGGAUGUGCCCAGAUGGGAUUAGCUAGUAGGGGGGGAAACGGCUCACCUAGGCGACUAUCCCUAGCUGGUCUGAGAGGAUGACCCGCCACACGUGAAUGGAGACACGGUCCAGACUCCUCCGGGCGGCAGCAGUGUGGAAUUUUGCACAAUGGGCGCAAGCCUGAUGCAGCCCUGCCGCGGGUAUGAAUAAGGCCUUCGGGUUGUAAAGUACUUUCAGCGGGGAGGCGUUACCCGCAUAAGAAGCACCGGCUAACUCCGUGCCAGCAGCCGCGGUAAUAC